AGGAUGAACGCUAGCGGCAGGCCUAAUACAUGCAAGCCGAACGGCAAGUUUGAUAGCAAUAUUGAACCUAGAGUGGCGUAGGGGUGCGUAACACGUAUGCAAUCUACCCGCAACAAGAGGAUAGCUCCCCGAAAGGGGAAUUAACCCUCUAUAAGAUCACACGAGGGCAUCUGAGAGUGAUUAAACUACAAGGGGUUGUGGAUGAGCAUGCGUCUGAUUAGCUAGUUGGCGGGUAACGGCCCACCAAGGCGAAGAUCGGUA
rnacentral:rRNA from 1 species